rnacentral:rRNA from 1 species
UUUAAAGGUGCUUCGGCACCACUGAUGGAUGAGCCUGCGGCGCAUUAGCUAGUUGGUAGGGUAAAGGCCUACCAAGGCGACGAUGCGUAGCCGACCUGAGAGGGUGAACGGCCACCCUGGGACUGAGACACGGCCCAGACUCCUACGGGAGGCAGCAGUAGGGAAUCUUCGGCAAUGGGCGAAAGCCUGACCGAGCAACGCCGCGUGAAUGAUGAAGGCCUUCGGGUUGUAAAAUUCUGUUAUAAGGGAAGAAUGGCUCUAGUAGGAAAUGGCUAGAGUGUGACGGUACCUUAUGAGAAAGCCACGGCUAACUACGUGCCAGCAGCCGCGGUAAUACGUAGGUGGCGAGCGUUAUCCGGAAUUAUUGGGCGUAAAGAGCGCGCAGGUGGUUGAUUAAGUCUGAUGUGGAAGCCCACGGCUUAACCGUGGAGGGUCAUUGGAAACUGGUCAACUUGAGUGCAGAAGAGGGAAGUGGAAUUCCAUGUGUAGCGGUGAAAUGCGUAGAGAUAUGGAGGAACACCAGUGGCGAAGGCGGCUUCCUGGUCUGUAACUGACACUGAGGCGCGAAAGCGUGGGGAGCAAACAGGAUUAGAUACCCUGGUAGUCCACGCCGUAAACGAUAAAUGGUAAGUGUUGGGGGUCGAACCUCAGUGCUGAAGUUAACGCACUAAGCACUCCGCCUGGGGAGUACGGUCGCAAGACUGAAACUCAAAGGAAUAGACGGGGACCCGCACAAGCGGUGGAGCAUGUGGUUUAAUUUGAAGCAACGCGAAGAACCUUACCAGGUCUUGACAUACCAGUGACCGUCCUAGAGAUAGGAUUUUCCCUUCGGGGACAAUGGAUACAGGUGGUGCAUGGUUGUCGUCAGCUCGUGUCGUGAGAUGUUGGGUUAAGUCCCGCAACGAGCGCAACCCCCGUCGUUAGUUGCCAGCAUUCAGUUGGGGAGUCUAACGAGACUGCCAGUGACAAACUGGAGGAAGGUGGGGAGGACGUCAAAUCAUCAUGCCCCCUAUGACCUGGGCUACACACGUGCUACAAUGGUUGGUACAAAGAGAAGAGAAGCGGUGACGUGGAGCAAACCUCAUAAAGCCAAUCUCAGUUCGGAUUGUAGGCUGCAACUCGCCUACAUGAAGUUGGAAUCGCUAGUAAUCGCGAAUCAGCAUGUCGCGGUGAAAAAGUUCCCGGGUCUUGCACA